CACACUGCUCUGAAUUUCACUGCAGUGCCACCAGUACUAAGCUGUACUGAAACGGAACAGAUCUGGCACAAACCAUGGACCAUGGGUUUUAAACCAGGCCGCAUGCGUGACAUGGUUUUUAUAUCUGCAACACCAAAACAGCAGCGCACAGUCGGAAAUGGUGUAAGGAGCAAACGUUACAAGGUAGUGCGAGG